rnacentral:rRNA from 1 species
UACGUAGGCAGCGAGCGUUGUUCGGAGUUACUGGGCGUAAAGGGUGUGUAGGCGGUUCUUUAAGUUUGGUGUGAAAUCUCCCGGCUCAACUGGGAGGGUGCGCCGAAAACUGGAGUGCUGGAGCGCGGGAGAGGAAAGCGGAAUUCCUGGUGUAGCGGUGAAAUGCGUAGAUAUCAGGAGGAACACCGGCGGUGUAGACGGCUUUCUGGACCGUAGCUGACGCUGAGACACGAAAGCGUGGGUAGCAAACAGG